AUUGAACGCUGGCGGCAGGCCUAACACAUGCACGUCGAACGAGUGGCGGACGGGUGAGUAAUGUCUGGGAAACUGCCUGAUGGAGGGGGAUCACUACUGGAAACGGUAGCUAAUACCGCAUACCAUCGGAUGUGCCGAGAUGGGAUUAGCUAGGAGGUGGGGUAACGGCGCACCUGGGCGAAGCUCCCUAGCUGGUCUUAGAGGAGGACCAGCCACACUGGAACUGAGACACGGUCCAGACUCCUACGGGAGGCAGCAGUGGGGAAUAUUGGACAAUGGGCGCAAGCCUGAUGCAGCCAUGCCGCGUGUAUGAAGAAGGCCUUCGGGUUGUAAAGUACUUUCAGCGGGGAGGCGUUACCCGCAGAAGAAGCACCGGCUAACUCCGUGCCAGCAGCCGCGGUAAUAC
rnacentral:rRNA from 1 species